GUCCACGCCCUAAACGAUGACGACUAGUUGUUGGGGUAGAAGUACCUUAGUAACGCAGCUAACGCGUGAAGUCGUCCGCCUGGGGAGUACGGUCGCAAGAUUAAAAACUCAAAGGAAUUGACGGGGGCCCGCACAAGCGGUGGAUGAUGUGGAUUAAUUCGAUGCAACGCGAAAAACCUUACCUACUCUUGACAUCCCCAGGAGCCUCGCAGAGAUGUGAGGGUGCCCGAAAGGGAACCUGGAGACAGGUGCUGCAUGGCUGUCGU
rnacentral:rRNA from 1 species